rnacentral:lncRNA from 1 species
GGNUUGCCGCAGGUGCGCGGUGGCUCUUGAUUCGGUUUGCUCGCGGGAACGCUCGUUCGAUCUUGCAGUUGCACCCGUGGUGCGGGCGCCUAGAUCUGGACGUGUAGUCUAGUCACAUCUGAAUGUUUUCUGCUGCUUUUGCUGCCCGGGUUUCAGGACAAUGCAGUCGAGAGCCAGGGCGCGGCGGCGGAGCAGGGAGCUGGUGAUGCCCGCAGGAGGUAUGGAUUCUUCGAUUAAACAAGCGCGGACAGACAUAUACUCCUACAUGGGAGAGAAAGAUGACAGCUUUGUGGAUUUUGACUGGGAAACGGAUUGUUUUCCUUUCUGUUAGUAUCUUUUCCCUCUGUGUUCUUCCACUGUUUGAUAGUGGCCAUGCCAGCUUGACCCAUGAGUCUAGGCAUGGCACGGCCGGAUCCAACUAUUAUUUUAGUGCACGCACUGCAGACUGCACCUGCCUGUCGGACAUGACGGCCCGGUGGGCAUGUUCGCUUCUCCCAUCCGUCCGUCCGUCCGCCCGCCCCAUAACUCCAUACUGCGUGCAUACAUACAUAGGCGCUGCUGCUUCUCGUCGCCGUCUUGGUCGUGGAUUUGUUUGGUUUGCUUUGCUGAUCUCGAUCACAGGCUCACAGCCUGUUCGUUUGGCUCUUGUUUUGUUGUGCGAUCCGGCCUUGGCCUCUAGUGCGCAUUGUAAUCAUGGCUUGCCACCUACUACCCGUUUCGUCAGUCGCGUCUUGAUCGGCGCUGUUAAUCCGGGGUUUUUUUUGGGUAGAAAGAUGAUGCUUUUUUCUGCACCUGCAGCAGCAAUGGCCAUGGAGGCGACGCGGAGUGGAAGCUGGACGUAGCAUGCACGGGCGCCGGCGAGAGGGCGGUGAAGGUGGAAGGACAGGCCACGAAUGGCGUGGCGGCGCCGGCGGAGUUGUUGGCCGUCAAGGACGAGAAGAAUGGCAGCGGCGGUGCGGCUGGCGGGGCCAAGNUGCUG